rnacentral:rRNA from 1 species
AGCAGCCGCGGUAAUUCCAGCUCCAAUAGCGUAUAUUAAAGUUGUUGCAGUUAAAAAGCUCGUAGUUGAAUUUCGGGGUCAAUAAGUUGGUCGUGCCAAUGGUAUGUACUGGCUUUAUUGAUUCCUACCUCUUGACGAACUGUGAUGCCAUUAAUUUGGUGUUGCAGGAAAUCAGGACUGUUACCUUGAAAAAAUUAGAGUGUUUAAAGCAGGCUUACGCUUGAAUACAUUAGCAUGGAAUAAUGAAAUAGGACGUUUGAACCUAUUUUGUUGGUUUCUAGGAUCGACGUAAUGAUUAAUAGGGAUAGUUGGGGGCGAUUAGUAUUCAAUUGUCAGAGGUGAAAUUCUUGGAUUUAUUGAAGACUAACUACUGCGAAAGCAUUUGCCAAGGAUGUUUUCAUUAAUCAAGAACGAAAGUUAGGGGAUCGAAGACGAUCAGAUACCGUCGUAGUCUUAACCAUAAACUAUGCCGACUAGGAAUCGGAUGAUGUUUAAUUUUUUAAUUAGUACUCAUUCGGCG